GCUUUUAUAGUUUAUAAUUAAAAUUUGGUUUUGAUAAGACUAAGAUUGUGAAAGUA
rnacentral:tRNA from 1 species